rnacentral:lncRNA from 1 species
UGACUUCAUGAAAACAGGGCAAAAUGGCCCCUAUGCAUUACAUACUCGUCGUAAAGUCUUUUUAAAUGUAAAUCCAUGCUAGAUAGGAUUUAUGAAAACUUUAGAACCCUUGAAAUGCAUGUGCCAUGUGUAAGGUAAAUAUCACUCUAUAUAGUAAAGCUAUAUGUGUAGACUGCAUGCAUGUGAAAGGCGCGCAUCUUUUUCAGUUGAGAACAUGUCUCUUAUGCUAGAAAUGGUUAGAAAUAUGUAUUCAUGAACAUAAUUAUCAUGCUUAGACUCGUUGAACAAAAGGGUCAUAAAGGGGCACUUGAAACUAGUAAACUAUGAAAAUGC